UAACGAAUCUUCCGCAAUGCACGAAAGUGUGACGGAGCGACGCCGCGUGGAGGACGAAGUUCUUCGGAAUGUAAACUCCUGUCAGGGGAAAGAAAGUUCUGAUCUACCCCAGAGGAAGAGGCGGCUAACUCUGUGCCAGCAGCCGCGGUAAUACAGAGGCCUCGAGCGUUAGACGGAAUCACUGGGCUUAAAGCGUGUGUAGGCGGAAGGGUAAGUACCUUGUGAAAUCCCACGGCUUAACCGUGGAACGGCUUGGUAUACUGCUUUUCUUGAGCAAUCUAGGGGCGAGUGGAACAGAUGGUGGAGCGGUGAAAUGCGUAGAUAUCAUCUGGAACGCCAAUGGUGAAGACAACUCGCUGGGGAUUUGCUGACGCUGAGACACGAAAGCCAGGGGAGCGAACGGGAUUAGAUACCCUUGUAGUCCCUGAGCGGGCUGGCAAGGCGCAU
rnacentral:rRNA from 1 species